rnacentral:rRNA from 1 species
GCUCAGAUUGAACGCUGGCGGCAGGCCUAACACAUGCAAGUCGAGCGGAAACGAUCCUAGCUUGCUAGGAGGCGUCGAGCGGCGGACGGGUGAGUAAUGCAUAGGAAUCUGCCCGGUAGUGGGGGAUAACGUGGGGAAACUCACGCUAAUACCGCAUACGCCCUACGGGGGAAAGCAGGGGAUCUUCGGACCUUGCGCUAUCGGAUGAGCCUAUGUCGGAUUAGCUUGUUGGUGAGGUAAUGGCUCACCAAGGCGACGAUCCGUAGCUGGUCUGAGAGGAUGAUCAGCCACACUGGGACUGAGACACGGCCCAGACUCCUACGGGAGGCAGCAGUGGGGAAUAUUGGACAAUGGGGGAAACCCUGAUCCAGCCAUGCCGCGUGUGUGAAGAAGGCUUUCGGGUUGUAAAGCACUUUCAGCGAGGAAGAAGGCCUGACGGUUAAUACCUGUCAGGAAGGACAU